UCCCCGGUGGCGCAGUUGGUUAGCGCGUUACUCUUUCUUAACUAAUGGUCGGAGGUUCGAAUCCUUCCCGGGGAA